rnacentral:rRNA from 1 species
CGCGCAGGCGGCCUCUUAAGUCUGAUGUGAAAGCCCCCGGCUCAACCGGGGAGGGCCAUUGGAAACUGGGAGGCUUGAGUAUGGGAGAGAAGAGUGGAAUUCCACGUGUAGCGGUGAAAUGCGUAGAGAUGUGGAGGAACACCAGUGGCGAAGGCGACUCUUUGGCCUAUAACUGACGCUCAUAUGCGAAAGCGUGGGGAUCAAACAGGAUUAGAUACCCUUGA